rnacentral:rRNA from 1 species
UAGACGUAAACAACACUACCCGCAACCCGCCAGAGGAUUACAAGUGAAAAACUUAAAACUCCAAGGACUUGACGGUGUCCCACCCAUACUAGAGGAGCCUGUCCUAUAAUCGAUACCCCACGCUCUACCUUACCCCUCCUUGCCCAACCUAUAUACCGCCGUCGCCAGCUUACACUGUGAACGACCCACCGUAAGCAAAACCAUCGCACAUUAAAACGACAGGUCAAGGUGUAGUCUAUGGAGGGGCAGUGAUGGGCUACAUUUUCUGUACAGAAAACACCAACCGCACCAUGAAACUGCCAAAAGGUGGAUUUAGAAGUAAACUUGGCAAGACAUGCCAACUUGCAGCCCUGGGACGC